UACCUGGUUGAUCCUGCCAGUAGUCAUAUGCUUGUCUCAAAGAUUAAGCCAUGCAUGUGUAAGUACAGGCCGACUUAAGGCGAAACCGCGGACGGCUCAUUAAAUCAGAUACAACUCAUUGGAUCUCUGCUGAACCGCAUUACUUGGAUAACUGUGGUAAUUCUAGAGCUAAUACAUGCCUUUGGAGUCUCCGACCGCGAGGGAGGAGCGCUUUUAUUAGACCAAAACCCCUGGGCGCGCGGCUCGCGAGGGCCGCGCGCCUGACUCUCUUGGUGAAACAGAAUAACUUUUGCCGAGCGCACGACCCCUCCCUGACGGGUUGGGUCGGCGCCGCGUCCUGCAGGCGUCUGCCUUAUCAGCUCUCGAUUGUAGGUUAAACGCCUACAAUGGCUAUCACGGGUAACGGGGAAUCAGGGUUCGAUUCCGGAGAGGGAGCCUGAGAGACGGCUACCACAUCUAAGGAAGGCAGCAGGCGCGCAAAUUACCCACUCCCGGCACGGGGAGGUAGUGACGAAAAAUACUGUUGCGAGCCCCGAACGGGGCUUCGCAAUUGGAAUGAGUACACUUUAAAUCCUUGUACGAGGAUCAAGUGGAGGGCAAGUCUGGUGCCAGCCGCCGCGGUAAUUCCAGCUCCACUAGCGUAUAUUAAAGUUGUUGCGGUUGAAACGCUCGUAGUUGGAACUCUGCUCCGGACCGGCGGUCCGCCUUAGCGGCGGUCACUGCCGGGUUCCGAGCUGUGUCCCCGCCGGCUUGCAGGGGGUUUGUAUGCCCUUAACCGGGUGUCCCCUUGUGGCCGGCACGUUUACUUUGAAAAAAUUAGAGUGCUCAGAGCAGGCUGACGAUUGCUUACAGCCCGAAUGGUCGUGCAUGGAAUGAUGGAAGAGGACCUCGGUUCUAUUUUGUCGGUUUUUCGGAACCCGAGGUAAUGAUUAAGAGAAGCAGACGGGGGCAUUCGUACUGCGACGCCAGAGGUGAAAUUCUUAGACCGUCGCAUGACGACCUAAUGCGAAAGCAUCUGCCAAGGAUGUUUUCAUUGAUCAAGAACGAAAGUUAGAGGUUCGAAGGCGAUCAGAUACCGCCCUAGUUCUAACCUUAAACGAUGCUGACUAGCGAUCCGCCGCAGUUAUUCCCAUGACCCGGCGGGGAGCUUCCGGGAAACCAAAGUCUUUGAGUUCCGGGGGAAGUAUGGUUGCAAAGCUGAAACUUAAAGGAAUUGACGGAAGGGCACCACCAGGAGUGGAGCCUGCGGCUCAAUUUGACUCAACACGGGGAAACUCACCAGGCCCGGACACCGGAAGGAUUGACAGAAUGAAGGCUCUUUCUCGAUUCGGUGGGUGGUGGUGCAUGGCCGUUCUUAGUUGGUGGAGUGAUCUGUCUGGUUAAUUCCGAUAACGAACGAGACUCUAGCCUGCUAAAUAGUCGACGGGUCUCGUCCUCGCGCCGCCUUCCAGGGCGGCGACGAGUCCCUAAAGCCGGGCCGGGUGCGGCCCGCGCGCGGGCGGCGGUGGUUGCGCGUGCGGGGUUCUGCCUCGUUGCGCGUGGCUGCUCCUCCGCCGCGGUGUUCGCCCCGGCUUCGGAAACUGGCGUCCGCUUCGCAAUCUUCUUCUUAGAGGGAUAAGCGGCAGCAAAAAAUAUACUAGCCGCACGAGAGAUUGAGCCAUAACAGGUCUGUGAUGCCCUUAGAUGUUCUGGGCCGCACGCGCGCUACAAUGGAGAGUUCAGCGAGCUGUCCCCGCUCCGAGAGGAGCGGGUAACCUCGUGAAAGCUGUCCGUAAAGGGGAUUGGGGCUUGCAAAUGUUCCCCAUGAACGAGGAAUUCCCAGUAGGCGCAAUUCACCAGAUUGCACCGAUUUAGUCCCUGCCCUUUGUACACACCGCCCGUCGCUACUACCGAUUGAAUGGUCUAGUGAGGGCACCGGACUGGCGCCCUUGGAGCCGCUGCUGCCCGUCAGUCAGCGCCCUCGGGUCGACGGAAAGGUGUCCAAGCUGGGUCAUUUAGAGGAAGUAAAAGUCGUAACAAGGUUUCCGUAGGUGAACCUGCGGAAGGAUCAUUA
rnacentral:rRNA from 1 species